AUUGAACGCUGGCGGCAGGCCUAACACAUGCAAGUCGAGCGGAUGAGUGGAGCUUGCUCCAUGAUUCAGCGGCGGACGGGUGAGUAAUGCCUAGGAAUCUGCCUGGUAGUGGGGGACAACGUUUCGAAAGGAACGCUAAUACCGCAUACGUCCUACGGGAGAAAGCAGGGGACCUUCGGGCCUUGCGCUAUCAGAUGAGCCUAGGUCGGAUUAGCUAGUAGGCGAGGUAAAGGCUCACCUAGGCGACGAUCCGUAACUGGUCUGAGAGGAUGAUCAGUCAGACUGGAACUGAGACACGGUCCAGACUCCUACGGGAGGCAGCAGUGGGGAAUAUUGGACAAUGGGCGAAAGCCUGAUCCAGCCAUGCCGCGUGUGUGAAGAAGGUCUUCGGAUUGUAAAGCACUUUAAGUUGGGAGGAAGGGCAGUAAGCUAAUACCUUGCUGUUUUGACGUUACCAACAGAACAAGCACCGGCUAACUUCGUGCCAGCCGCCGCCGUAAAAC
rnacentral:rRNA from 1 species